CAAACCAUGUUAGCCAGCCACUUAAGUAGCUCUGAAUGAUUCACUAGCUUUGGUACUUUUUAUUGCCUGCUGUUAAAACUCUGAGCUGUUUGUGUACUGACAGAAUGGGGUUACUGAGCCAUGAUCAACGCUGGAGCCGGAAUGGCAUCAUUGCUUGAGAAAAAACCUAUAGCUUGGUGGCACAGUUAGGAGCAGAUUGCCAGACAGAC
rnacentral:lncRNA from 1 species